rnacentral:tRNA from 1 species
AGAUGUAUAGUUUAAUGGCAAAGCAUUUGCCUAGCAUUAAGAACCUGGGUUCAAUUCCCAGUGCUACCA